GGCGGUUCUCAGGUGACGCACCCCAGAAUCGGGCUCCCUCCUCUCUGGUUCCUGGGUGCAUCACUGAAGAACCACA
rfam:Myotis lucifugus cont2.18936, whole genome shotgun sequence.